rnacentral:rRNA from 1 species
AUUGAACGCUGGCGGCAGGCCUAACACAUGCAAGUCGAGCGGAUGAAGGGAGCUUGCUCCUGGCUUCAGCGGCGGACGGGUGAGUAAUGCCUAGGAAUCUGCCUGGUAGUGGGGGAUAACGUCCGGAAACGGGCGCUAAUACCGCAUACGUCCUGAGGUAGAACGUGGGGGAUCUUCGGACCUCACGCUAUCAGAUGAGCCUAGGUCGUAUUAGCUAGUUGGUGGGGUAAAGGCCUACCAAGGCGACGAUCCGUAACUGGUCUGAGAGGAUGAUCAGUCACACUGGAACUGAGACACGGUCCAGACUCCUACGGGAGGCAGCAGUGGGGAAUAUUGGACAAUGGGCGAAAGCCUGAUCCAGCCAUGCCGCGUGUGUGAAGAAGGUCUUCGGAUUGUAAAGCACUUUAAGUUGGGAGGAAGGGCAGUAAGUUAAUACCUUGCUGUUUUGACGUUACCAACAGAAUAAGCACCGGCUAACUUCGUG